rnacentral:lncRNA from 1 species
CGCGCAGUGGGGCGGUAGCCGGUAUUAACUGAAUAUAAACUGAAUCUUCCAACCUGCGCCGCGUGAAGGGAGAGCGAGGGUUUCUCCCCGAGAGUCUCUAGGAGAUCUCUGUAAUCUGAUCUUUCAGAACCAAAGAUGGGAGUGUGGUGGUGAAAGACUGAUCCCUGUGUAAGAGCUGCAGAAAAUGAUCAACUUCCGGUUUGAAGAGGAAUGUGCCGUUACAGGGAUCAGUGACACUCCAGGACGUGGCUGUGGACUUCACCCCAGAAGAGUGGCAGCUGCUGGACUGUGAUCAGA